AGAGUUUGAUCCUGGCUCAGGACGAACGCUGGCGGCGCGCUUAACACAUGCAAGUCGAGCGAGAACCAGGGCUUCGGCCCUGGGGACAGCGGCGAACGGGUGAGUAACACGUGGAUAACCUGCCCUCGGCACCGGGAUAGCCCGGGGAAACUCGGAUUAAUACCGGAUAGCCCUUCCGACUCUCGAGUCGGUCCGAAAAGGUAGCUUCGGCCUCUGGCCGGGGAUGGGUCCGCGGCGGAUUAGCUUGUUGGUGGGGUAAUGGCCUACCAAGGCACCGAUCCGUAGCUGGUCUGAGAGGACGAUCAGCCACACUGGGACUGAGACACGGCCCAGACUCCUACGGGAGGCAGCAGUGGGGAAUCUUGCGCAAUGGGCGAAAGCCUGACGCAGCGACGCCGCGUGAGGGAGGAAGGCCUUCGGGUUGUAAACCUCUUUCAGGAGGGACGAAGCUACUCGGGUUAAUAGCCCAGAGGGUGACGGUACCUCCAGAAGAAGCCCCGGCUAACUACGUGCCAGCAGCCGCGGUA
rnacentral:rRNA from 1 species